UACGGAGGGGCGAGCGUUGUCCGAAGUUACUGGGCGUAAAGCGCGCGUAGGCGGGUUGGUAAGUCCGCUGUGAAAGCCCGGAGCUCAACUCCGGAGGGUCGGUGGAUACUGCCAGUCUUGAAGGUGCUAGGGGGAGAUGGAAUUACCGGUGUAGCGGUGAAAUGCGUAGAGAUCGGUAGGAACACCAGUGGCGAAGGCGGUCUCCUGGGCCGAUACUGACGCUGAGGAGCGAAAGCGUGGGGAGCGAACAGG
rnacentral:rRNA from 1 species